CACCCCCACUUGCAAUCGAAUAUUUUCACGAGUUCCAUCUUCCCUUUUCUUAGGGAAAGAAUCGUUAUCAGAAAAUAAAAAUAUCACGGACUAAUCACAAUUUUAAAGAUCAAAUAUGUGUUCAAUCAAGUAUAGCCUUACGUGCAUCAGUUUUUUGUUUAAAUACCUGCUUUGUAUUUGAUUGAUUAUCAUGAAUGACUAACUUGAUGUCUGUACAUGUGAUGGCUUUGUACUUGUUACUUUUGAUGGGUAGGGUGACCCCAGAGAGCUUGAUAUAUAGUUUUGGAACCCUUUUGCUUGAUCUGUUAAGCGGAAAGCAUAUCCCUCCAAGCCAUGCUCUUGACUUGAUUCGUGACAGGAACAUUCAAACAAUGAUGGAUUCUUGCUUGGAAGGCCAGUUCUCGAAUGAUGAUGGUGGUCGUAAUUUGUAUUAUAACAAGAAGUAACGAACUUAGAUGUUUAUGAAAAUAUUAGGAAUUUAAAUUUAAUUUCUUCAAAAGUUUAAUGAUCUCGUGUAAACGUAGCCAAACUUAGUAAUUAAAAGACAAACUCUUUGAAGUUAUGAUCUAAACAAUUUAUUUACAACGUACGGAGUUGUUAUUUAUGGA